GUGAAACACCUCAAACUGUUCCCAGCUCCUCCCCAGCAGCCAGCAAGGGCUGACUUUCCAUUAUUGCCUACCACUGUAACUGGAUCCAGACAAGCAUCUUAAAGCAACAACUAAAAAAAUCUAUACAGGAAACCAUCACCUUCCUGGAAGCUCCAGCAUUGAUUUCCCAGCCUGGACCUGCAGGGACAGCACCACCCCUGGGACAGAGAUAUGGCAACAGUUUGGGCAAAGUCAUGGGGAAAGUGGAACAGAACUUCCAAGCUGCCUAAAUAUUUUCAUUUUCUCACAGAUCUCAAAGGUUAUUUCAUACACUACAAAACACCAAGUAAUUACAGCCAUCUGACUGCACUGGGGCCCUGGC